rnacentral:rRNA from 1 species
UCCGAGUUGUAAUUUGUAGAGGGCGCUUUGGUGUUGGUAGCGGUCCAAGUUCCUUGGAACAGGACGUCACAGAGGGUGAGAAUCCCGUACGUGGUCGCUAGCCUUCUCCGUGUAAAGCCCCUUCGACGAGUCGAGUUGUUUGGGAAUGCAGCUCUAAAUGGGAGGUAAAUUUCUUCUAAAGCUAAAUACUGGCCAGAGACCGAUAGCGCACAAGUAGAGUGAUCGAAAGAUGAAAAGCACUUUGGAAAGAGAGUCAAAUAGCACGUGAAAUUGUUGAAAGGGAAGCGCUUGCAGUCAGACUUGCCUGUAGUUGCUCAUCUGGGCUUUUGCCCGGUGCAUUCUUCUGCAGGCAGGCCAGCAUCAGUUUGGGCGGUUGGAUAAAGGUCUCUGUCAUGUAUCUCUCUUCGGGGAGGCCUUAUAGGGGAGACGUCAUGUAACCAGCCUGGACUGAGGCCCGCGCAUUUGCUAGGAUGCUGGCGUAAUGGCUGUAAGCGGCCCGUCUUGAAACACGGACCAAGGAGUCUAACAUCUAUGCGAGUGUUUGGGUGUCAAGCCCGAGCGCGUAAUGAAAGUGAAUGGAGGUGGGAACCCUUUGGGUGCACCAUCGACCGAUCCUGAUGUCUUCGGAAGGAUUUGAGUAAGAGCAUGGCUGUUGGGACCCGAAAGAUGGUGAACUAUGCUUGAAUAGGGU